UGUUUGGGAAUGCAGCUCAAAGUGGGUGGUAAAUUCCAUCUAAAGCUAAAUAUUGGUGGGAGACCGAUAGCGCACAAGUACCGUGAGGGAAAGAUGCAAAGAACUUUGAAAAGAGAGUUAAAGAGUACCUGAAAUUGCUGAAAGGGAAGCGAAGGAAACCAGUGCCGGCAAUGUCAUACUUCCCUGGCCGCUUGCGGCUUGGGCGCUGUGGCAUGCCACCGCUGCGUUUGAUUGAACUGCGUGGAAGAGCAACAGAGCCUCCUUCGGGAUACCCUGCUGCUGUCGCGUGGUUUGAUCGAGCGGAGCGAAAUGGUUUUCUUUACCCCGUCUUGAAACACGGACC
rnacentral:rRNA from 1 species